rnacentral:rRNA from 1 species
AAAAAGAACCACCACAAAAAGAAUUACUCAAUAAUAAUUAGACAAUUAAAAUAGACUUGCAGUUCGCGGUAAAGGGAACCGCUCACGAUACAGUAGUUGAUAGAUAGGCAAGUUCAUGCUUAAUUAGUAGAAUGAGUGU